rnacentral:rRNA from 1 species
AUGGCGCGGGCCACCGGAGGUAGGGCAGCGCGCCGGGUCGAGGAUGGCCAUCGGGUCGACGACGGCGUGGAGAUCAGGGACGAGGACGACGGGGCGAGACGGAGGUUUCGUUCAGACGACACGGCCACCGGGUCAACGACGGCGUGGAGAUCAGGGGCGAGGCCGAGGUUUCGUUCAGACGGCACGGUCGCCGGGUUGAUGACGACGCGAAGACAAGGGGUGAGGAUGGCGGAGCAAGGCCGAGCAUCCCGGACGAAGGAGUCUGCCGACAGAACAUUUGUUUUCACCGUCGAUCUGAUUGUAUGCGUACUAUGGCUGUUCGCACUACCGGCCGUCUUCCGCCGUUGGUCGAUUGCCGUGAGACAACCCAAUCGCCCUGAGACGACCCGAUUGCCAUGCGUACAGAUCACAUGGGCAACUCGCAUGGAAUAUACAAUGAGCCUGCACUGGCCGCCGGGUACCGGAGAGGCCCGGAAGCAUCCAUCUUCUCGAGUUACCUUCCUAGAAGUAGAAGCCUCCCGUCCGUCGUCGCUCCCUUCGCCGCGGGAGCUGCCGCCGGUCGCGCCCUCCGACGCCCAAGUUGUCACCGGAGCCGCCCGUCACGCCUUCCACCGUAGGUCGCCGCGGGAGCCGCCGCGCCCUUUGCCGCGGGUGUCGUCCGAGCCGCUCAUCUUGGAGUCCUCAACCGCCACCGCGCACGCAGGUGGCGCGAUGGAGGGGGAGUACGACGAGGUUCUGGGGCAACUCUCCUAUCUCAUGCAGAACGUGCGGGCACACACCAGCAACCCACGCAAUCAGUGGGACCUCAUGGACCACUACCUCCAGAUUCUCGAGCUGGAGGAGGCCAUCGCGUGGAUGAAGGUCAUCCAUGUCACCGGGACCAAAGGGAAGUUGGUGCCAAGGAUUCGAGAAGGUGAACUAAUACCAAGAACCAUGUCGCCGGAUGAUUCAGGAAGAGAUGGUCCUGAUAGUCGAGAUGAUGGAUUAAUAAGACUGUUUGGACAAAAUUCUGAUUUUUUUAACACUUGUUCCAUGUGCGAAUGUUCUGGGAGCACCAACUCCAACUGCUGA